UUUGUAGCAAUACGAGAGUAUCCUAGUGGCGAACGGGUGAGUAACGCGUUGGUGACUGCCCCAAAGUGUGGGAUAACAGUCCGAAAGGACUGCUAAUACCUCAUGUGGUUAUUGGCUUUAGAAACCGGUAACUAAAGGAGCAAUUCGCUUUGGGAGGGACUGCGUCCCAUCAGCUAGUUGGUGAGGUAAUGGCUCACCAAGGCGACGACGGGUAGGGGACCUGAGAGGGUGGCCCCCACAAUGGAACUGAAACACGGUCCAUACACCUACGGGUGGCAGCAGUAGGGAAUAUUGCUCAAUGGGCGAAAGCCUGAAGCAGCAACGCCGCGUGCGUGAUGAAGGUCUUCGGAUCGUAAAGCGCUUUUCUGGGAGAUGAGAAAGGACAGUAUCCCAGGAAUAAGUCUCGGCUAACUACGUGCCAGCAGCCGCGGUAAAACGUAGGAGGCAAGCGUUAUCCGGAUUCACUGGGCGUAAAGCGCGUGCAGGUGGCGUGGUAAGUUGGAUGUGAAAUCUCCCGGCUCAACUGGGAGAGGUCAUUCAAUACUACCGUGCUUGAGAGCAGAAGAGGAAGAUGGAAUUCCCGGUGUAGUGGUGAAAUGCGUAGAUAUCGGGAGGAACACCAGUGGCGAAGGCGAUCUUCUGGUCUGUUUCUGACACUCAGACGCGACAGCUAGGGUAGUAAACGGGAUUAGAGACCCCGGUAAUCCUAGCCGUAAACGAUGUGAACUUGGCGUUGGUGGGUUAAACUCCAUCAGUGCCGCAGCAAACGCGAUAAGUUCACCGCCUGGGGACUACGGCCG
rnacentral:rRNA from 1 species